rnacentral:rRNA from 1 species
AACGUAGGACGCAAGCGUUAUCCGGAGUUACUGGGCGUAAAGCGCGGGCAGGCGGUCGGUCAAGUCUGAUGUGAAAUCUCCGGGCUCAACCGGGAGAGGCCAUUGGAAACGGGUCGGCUGGAGGGCAGUAGAGGUAGGCGGAAUUCCGGGUGGAGUGGUGAAAUGCGUAGAGAUCCGGAGGAACACCAGAGGCGAAGGCGGCCUACUGGGCUGCACCUGACGCUGAGCCGCGAAAGCCAGGGGAGCGAACGGG